AGCAGCCGCGGUAAUUCCAGCUCCAAUAGCGUAUAUUAAAGUUGUUGCAGUUAAAAAGCUCGUAGUUGAAUUUCGGGAUUAGUAGUCUGGUCGUGCCACUGGUAUGUACUGGUCUUACUGAUUUCUCCUUCUUGAAGAACCGUAAUGUCAUUAAUUUGGUGUUGCGGGGAAUCUGGACUGUUACUUUGAAAAAUUAGAGUGUUUAAAGCAGGCUAACGCUUGAAUACAUUAGCAUGGAAUAAUGAAAUAGGACGAUCGAUCCUAUUUUGUUGGUUUCUAGGAUUGACGUAAUGAUUAAUAGGGAUAGUUGGGGGCAUUAGUAUUCAAUUGUCAGAGGUGAAAUUCUUGGAUUUAUUGAAGACUAACUACUGCGAAAGCAUUUGCCAAGGAUGUUUUCAUUAAUCAAGAACGAAAGUUAGGGGAUCGAAGACGAUCAGAUACCGUCGUAGUCUUAACCAUA
rnacentral:rRNA from 1 species